rnacentral:lncRNA from 1 species
AGGAGACCCAGGAAGCUGCGCCCGGCUCCCGGGGGUGGAGGGCCUAGGCCUCGGCCCGCCCGAGGCGGAGCCCGGGAGGUCGGGGCGGGGUCCCGGGCCGGUCACCCACCUGGGUUGCCAGUCAUUCCAGCUCCGCGAAUAGUUGGUGCCGUUGGUGCCGCCGCCGCCGCUCAGCCGAGACCCCGGGGCUCUGCGGCUCAUUACCUUCCCCGACACGACAUGGCCAAGCGCCGCCGCCCAGAGAAGCGCGAGUCGCCGCCCGAACCGGCCGCCGCCAACACCCCGCUCCGGCCCGGGGCUGAGGAGGAAGCCGAGAAGGAGGAGAAGGAGGAGGCGGCGGCGGGCGGGGGAAGAGGACGACCGUUCCGGGUUCCGCCUGAGCCCGCAGCACAGGACGAGGAGGCGGGAGCGGCGCGGUGAGAGAGAGGUGGAUGAAGGGGAGGCGACGUCUCUUCCAGGGCCGUGCGCGGCCCACGUCGCCGGGGCCGCGGAGGACGAGGACGACGAGGAGCAGGCGGUGGCGGCAGCUCCUCACGCUCACAAGGCCACUGCUAACCCGCCUCCCGGCUCCGCUGGCCGCGCCGCCGCUAUCGCACGGGAUUCGCAGAGGCAUUUUUGGAACAUCUUUGGAAAAAAUUGCAGGAUCCAAGUAAUCCUGCCAUCAUCAGGCAGGCUGCUGGAAAUUAUAUUGGAAGCUUUUUGGCAAGAGCUAAAUUUAUUCCUCUUAUUACUGUAAAACCAUGCCUAGAUCUUUUGGUUAACUGGCUGCACAUAUACCUUAAUAACCAGGAUUCGGGAACAAAGGCAUUCUGCAAUGUUGCUCUCCAUGGACCAUUUUACUCAGCCUGCCAAGCUGUGUUCUACACCUUUGUUUUUAGACACAAGCAGCUUUUGAGCGGAAACCUGAAAGAAGGUUUGCAGUAUCUUCAGAGUCUGAAUUUUGAGCGGAUAGUGAUGAGCCAGCUAAAUCCCCUGAAGAUUUGCCUGCCCUCAGUGGUUAACUUUUUUGCUGCAAUCACAAAUAAGUACCAGCUCGUCUUCUGCUACACCAUCAUCGAGAGGAACAAUCGCCAGAUGCUGCCAGUCAUUAGGAGUACCACUGGAGGAGACUCAGUGCAGACCUGCACAAACCCACUGGACACCUUCGUCCCCUUUGAUCCCUGUGUGCUGAAGAGGUGAGGUCUGUGCAGACCCUGGGUGAGGGGCGAGUUGGCUAUGGCCUGUUUAACUCCACCUGUGCAGACUGCAGCUCAGCCUCGUCCAUGCUUCGUGACUCAGCCUUGUCCUCAGGGAAGCUGGGGCUGGUGCAACUUUCAGAAGUGGUCCCAGACCUGCCUUUCGCCUUCUGCCAUGAUUGGGAGGCCUCCCCAGCCACAUGGAACUGAUCUUGCUCUGUCGCCCAGGCUACAGUGCAGUGGUGCAAUCACAGCCCACUGCAGCCUCGACCUCCGGAGCUCAAUUGAUCCUCCCACCUCAGCCUCCUGAGUAGCUGCAUCUACAGAUGUGAG